AUGGCAACCAUAGAAGAAAUUGCACAUCAAAUUAUUGAACAACAGAUGGGAGAGAUUGUUACAGAGCAGCAAACUGGGCAGAAAAUCCAGAUUGUGACAGCACUUGAUCAUAAUACCCAAGGCAAGCAGUUCAUUCUGACAAAUCACGACGGCUCUACUCCAAGCAAAGUCAUUCUGGCCAGGCAAGAUUCCACUCCAGGAAAAGUUUUCCUUACAACUCCAGAUGCAGCAGGUGUCAACCAGUUAUUUUUUACCACUCCUGAUCUGUCUGCACAACACCUGCAGCUCCUAACAGAUAAUUCUUCUCCAGACCAAGGACCAAAUAAGGUUUUUGAUCUUUGCGUAGUAUGUGGAGACAAAGCAUCAGGACGUCAUUAUGGAGCAGUAACUUGUGAAGGCUGCAAAGGAUUUUUUAAAAGAAGCAUCCGAAAAAAUUUAGUAUAUUCAUGUCGAGGAUCAAAGGAUUGUAUUAUUAAUAAGCACCACCGCAACCGCUGUCAAUACUGCAGGUUACAGAGAUGUAUUGCGUUUGGAAUGAAGCAAGACUCUGUCCAAUGUGAAAGAAAACCCAUUGAAGUAUCACGAGAAAAAUCUUCCAACUGUGCCGCUUCAACAGAAAAAAUCUAUAUCCGAAAGGACCUUCGUAGCCCAUUAACUGCAACUCCAACUUUUGUAACAGAUAGUGAAAGUACAAGGUCAACAGGACUGUUAGAUUCAGGAAUGUUCGUGAAUAUUCAUCCAUCUGGAGUAAAAACUGAGUCAACUGUGCUGAUGACAUCAGAUAAGGCUGAAUCAUGUCAGGGAGAUUUAAGUACAUUGGCCAGUGUGGUUACAUCAUUAGCGAAUCUUGGAAAAACUAAAGAUCUUUCUCAAAAUAGUAAUGAAAUGUCUAUGAUUGAAAGCUUAAGCAAUGAUGAUACCUCUUUGUGUGAAUUUCAAGAAAUGCAGACCAACGGUGAUGUUUCAAGGGCAUUUGACACUCUUGCAAAAGCAUUGAAUCCUGGAGAGAGCACAGCCUGCCAGAGCUCAGUAGCGGGCAUGGAAGGAAGUGUACACCUAAUCACUGGAGAUUCAAGCAUAAAUUACACCGAAAAAGAGGGGCCACUUCUCAGCGAUUCACAUGUAGCUUUCAGGCUCACCAUGCCUUCUCCUAUGCCUGAGUACCUGAAUGUGCACUACAUUGGGGAGUCUGCCUCCAGACUGCUGUUCUUAUCAAUGCACUGGGCACUUUCGAUUCCUUCUUUCCAGGCUCUAGGAAAGAAGAAAAUUAUUGAUGGAGCACAUCUUCAAACUACAGGAGUUUUGUAA
rnacentral:sRNA from 1 species